GAAAAAAAAAAGAGCUAAUCGAAAAACUUAUAAUAACAAGUCGCUGGUAAAAAAAAAAAAAAAAAGCGCGUAACCGCGUUGAUCGACUUAAAAGUAUAUUCGUAUAGUUUCAGUCGAGUGAUUUGACGUUGAACGACGUUUUGAAAAUUGGCAUUUUUCAUCCCGCGGGGGUCGGGUAAAAAUGAUUUGAAAAUCUCAUAAAAAAAACCGC